rnacentral:rRNA from 1 species
GACGAACGCUGGCGGCGUGCUUAACACAUGCAAGUCGAACGGAAAGGCCCUGCUUUUGUGGGGUGCUCGUGUGGCGAACGGGUGAGUAACACGUGAGUAACCUCCCCUUAACUUUGGGAUAACUUCAGGAAACUGGGGCUCAUACCGGAUAGGAGCUCCUGCUGCACGGUGGGGGUUGGAAAGUUUCGGCGGUUGGGGCUGGACUCGCGGCUUAUCCGCUUGAUGGUCUGGUAGUGGCUUACCAAGCCUUUGACGGGUAGCCGGCCUGAGAGGGUGACCGGCGACAUUGGUACUGAGAGAGGGCGCAGACUGCUACGGGAGGCAGCAGGGGAGAAUAUGGCACAACGGGGGGGAGCCUGAUGCAGCAACGCCGCGUGCGGGAUGCCGGCCUUCGGGUGGUAAACCGCUUUCGCCUGUGACGAAGCGUGAGUGACGGUAAUGGGUCAAGAAGCACCGGCUAACUACGUG